rnacentral:rRNA from 1 species
UAAGCGGAGGAAAAGAAACUAACAAGGAUUCCCCUAGUAACUGCGAGUGAAGCGGGAAAAGCUCAAAUUUAAAAUCUGGUGGUCUCUGGNCGUCCGAGUUGUAAUUUAGAGAAGCGUCUNNCGCGCUGGACCGUGCACAAGUCUCCUGGAAUGGAGCGUCAUAGAGGGUGAGAAUCCCGUCUUUGGCACGGACACACCAGGGCUUUUGUGAUGCGCUCUCGAAGAGUCGAGUUGUUCGGGAAUGCAGCUCAAAAUGGGUGGUGAACUCCAUCUAAAGCUAAAUAUUGGCGAGAGACCGAUAGCGAACAAGUACCGUGAGGGAAAGAUGAAAAGCACUUUGGAAAGAGAGUGAAACAGUACGUGAAAUUGUUGAAAGGGAAACGCUUGAAGUCAGUCGCGUCGACCGAGACUCAGCCUUGCCUUGGCUUGGUGUACUUCUCGGCUGACGGGUCAGCAUCAAUUUUGCCCCUUGGAUAAUGGUGAGGGAAAUGUGACACCUUUACGGUGUGUUAUAGUCUCUUGUCGCAUGCAAGGGUCGGGAUUGAGGAACUCAGCACGCGCCUUUGGGCGUCGGGGCUUUGCCCACGAUACGUGCUUAGGAUGUUGGCAUAAUGGCUUUAAACGACC